rnacentral:lncRNA from 12 species
GCGGGCUUGCUACUCAAAAGAACUUUCCAGCAAUUCCUUUAAAGAAUAUUCUUGCAAAAGAAUCCCUCCUAUUUAGCAUAUCUCUUCUUCCUACGAUUUGCUUUACAGAUGUAGAGUCUACACUACGUUUAUGUGAUUUAUCAUUCAUAUACCGUAGGUACUAUAUAUAUAGUCUUUUACAUCAAAGUGCGCGGCAGUUAUAUUUUUAGGAUUUUCACGCGAAUAAUGGGGCCUAAGAUAAUGAGUUUGGGACAGAGCCAUGAGUGUGCCUCCAAAGCAAGCAGACCUCAGCCCACGGAGCUGAUCUCCAUUCAGCUGCGCGUUCAGAUACUUAGGGGCCCCGUGAAGGGUUGAAUGGUUGCUGUAGCUUAUCUUUUGUUUUGUCUUAAAUUUCAGAGCACUCUGGGGCAUGCAUGUGCACACGUAAAGGCAUUUUGUUUUAGGAACUUGACUACGCCCUUUGAAUGUGUGCAUCCCAAAACACACUGAGAGUUACUGAACUACACGGCAUUGGUCUUCCCCUAAUACCAGUUAAAAAUAGCCAGAUCGGUCACAAGUGUGCUAGCAGGAUCAUCCACUGUCGCAGUACACAGCUCAGGUUAUUUUUUUUCUCCCCUUUCACUGCCCUCCUAGCACAGAGCUCUUUUGUUUGAUUAUUACCUGGGCAAAUUUGCUAUACGAUAAAAAAAAUUAUGCACGUAGCUGACUCCCGUCCAGAUGCCCUUAGGAGAAGACGUUCAUUUUCAUCUUGUUUCCCAAAUGAAGCUUUAAAUCUAAUUAGACCUUGAAAGAAAAUAUCUGCGAUACGGUUUCUGUAACUAAAGGGCCUCUCAUUUAAAUAAUGUUCUUAUUUGUUUAUGUUGUGUGAUUUAUAGCCAGUGAUGAAAUUCUUUGCGGCUAGCGUGCCACAUGCUUCGGGGGUCCUUUGCAUAGAGCACUUUGACCAGGACCGGGGCCCGGCACCUGCUGCUCAGGGGCGCGCGCGUACGUCAGACGGAAGGUCAGGAAGCCCCGCAGUCCUGCCCCCGGGCUCCCUCCUAGCACCCUGCCAAGCACGCUGCCCCCGGGCUCCGUCCCAGCACCCCGCCAUCGGGAGGCUGGCUGACUAG